rnacentral:rRNA from 1 species
UGAGUAAUGCGUGACCAACCUGCCCCAUGCUCCAGAAUAGCUCUUGGAAACGGGUGGUAAUGCUGGAUGCUCCAACUUGACGCAUGUCUUGUUGGGAAAGUGUUUAGUGGCAUGGGAUGGGGUCGCGUCCUAUCAGCUUGUAGGCGGGGUAAUGGCCCACCUAGGCUUCGACGGGUAGCCGGCCUGAGAGGGCGGACGGCCACAUUGGGACUGAGAUACGGCCCAGACUCCUACGGGAGGCAGCAGCA